rnacentral:rRNA from 1 species
ACGUAGGGUGCGAGCGUUAAUCGGAAUUACUGGGCGUAAGCGUGCGCAGGCGGCGCGUCGUGUCCUGUGUGAAAGCCCCGGGCUCAACCUGGGAAUGGCAUGGGAAACUGGCGCGCUGGAGUGCGGCAGAGGGGGGUGGAAUUCCCGGUGUAGCAGUGAAAUGCGUAGAGAUCGGGAGGAACAUCUGUGGCGAAGGCGACUGCCUGGACCAGCACUGACACUGAGGCACGAAAGCGUGGGGAGCAAACAGGA